UUAUAUUAUAUAUAUAUGGGAUAAUUGCCUAUAUACCCCUCAUAAUUUGAAAAUAUCUGAUUUACCCUUUUGUUCUUUCUAAAAUACUCCUCAUAUGUUCCACCGUUAUUGCAAAAUAUCCCCGCAAUUAUCUCCUGUUAAGUUAACUUGGGUUAAAUGUGAGUUAAAUAUCUACCACAGUUUAAAAAAAUUAAAAUGUCAAUUUUGCCCUUAACUUAACGGCAAAUAAGAAAUGUUGGUGACGGUAGAGGGGUAUAUUAGAAAAGACCAAAAGUCAAAAUACUUUUUGUGCCCCUAACUUUAAGGACAAAUAAGAAAGUCAGUGAUGGUGAAAGGAUAUAUUUGAAAGAGCAAAAUAAUAAUUUUAUAGAGAUAAGAGAGUUCAUUAACUGAUUUUAACUCUAGGAUAUAUUAGAAAUAGGUUGGAACAUAGAAAAGGUAUUUUCAAUAUUAGCCUUCUAAGAGGGGUAAAUCAGAAAGUCGAAAACUUUGAGAAAGAGAGAGAGAGAGAGAGAGGGGGGGGGUCUUGUGUGCUAUUAAUUAGGAGCACGGAAGCCUCUGGGCUCCUAAGCCGUUUUUUAUUAUGUUACUUUCAAAUUGAUGAUCGGAUCCGUUAGACUUGACUUCACAUAUUUGAACUAUUUAGAAAAUAAAUUUUACAAUUUUUCUAUAUUAUUUACCUAGUGGUCAAAAAAACUCAAAAUUAACAGUUGAAAAUAAUAAUCUCAUAAAAAAUGUUGCACCAAAAUUUUCGAUUAGAGAUAUUGAUCUUAUUGUAAGUAGUAUAAAAAAAUUUCUAUUAGAAUUUUGUCUGAUUUGAAUACUUCUACACUAUUAAACCUACAAACUGCAUGUAUCAAUCAUUAAAAAUUAUUGUUUUUGAAUCAUUUUAAUUAUUAGAUAAAUGAUAUUGAAAAAUCACAAAAAUUAAUUUUUAAAUACUUCAAAUAUGCUAAAUCAAGUCUAACGAAGUCGAUCAUCGAUUUAAAAGUCUUAUCAUCGAAAAUGACUUACGCUACUUCGGUUUCUAGGUAAAUGAUAUAAAAAAAUUACGAAAUUUAUUUUUUAAAUACUUCUAAUACUCCAGAUCAAAUAUAAUUGAUUUGAUCGUCGAUUCGAAAGCUCCAGCAUCAAAAAUAACUCAAUGGUAUAGAGGUCACCGUGCUUCUAAAAACAGACAAAUAGGACUCUCUCUCUUUCCAUAUAUUUAUAUAUUUAUUUA
rnacentral:lncRNA from 1 species